AGAUUCUUUGGAGUGGUUGAAAUUAGGCGGUAACCAGUUAUCUUCCAUACCUUAUUUGGCACUUCGAAAUUUCAGUAGAUUACGACAACUCGAUCUUCGAUGUAAUUUAAUCUCUAGAGUUGAGAUUAUAUCGUUUGACACCUAUGGCAAAACACUCAAAUUCAUUUUUCUUCAAAAAAAUAGCAUCCAGACGAUAGAAGAAGGAGCUUUGGAUGUGCUGGAGUCUGCGGAAUGGUUGUAUCUUCAUUCGAACGAGCUGAGGGAGCUGCGCUACGACACAUUCAAACCUGUGAUUGAUAAUCUGCACGUGCUAGACCUUCACGGUAACCCUUACCAUUGUGAUUGCGAUGUGUUGUGGUUCCGUGACUGGCUUCUUUACAAAGGGCAGAACGUAGCCAACCUUCCAAAAGAAACACGUUGCAAGGCACCAGAAGAACAUGCGCAAAAGCCCAUCGUCAAACUCACUAAUAGUAGCUUUGUUUGCUCUAGUGCUAAUGGUGACUCGAGCAAACCGACCAAUAACAUCGGAGUUUUUUCAUUAUUCUUCCUGUCUAUUUUCAUGUUUUUUAUGUGUAGAUAAUACAUGACCGUGAACUGCUUGAAGUUUCUACAUCUGCGAUUUUAUUUUUUUCAGCUUAUUUGUUAUGAUUGUGCAAAUGUACUGAGUAUUCAAAAAUCGUAUUAGUGUAUUUCUUUGGACUUUGAUAGGAGAUAAAGAAGAAAUGUUAUCAAAAGGAAUUUGAUUUAUCGACGCAGUUCUAAACAUUGGCAUAAGUACAUUUGUGUAUAAUAUUCAUUAAUAAUUAAAUACUCAAUCGAUUUGUACGAUAUUCUGUAAUACUCCAUGAAUUCAUUAACAAAACAAUAUUCGUAUUUUUUGUAAAUUGAAAAGGCAUUUAUGGAUAGCAAAUAUCAUUCAGUAUGAAAAUAUUUUGAAAUUGUAGAUUAACAAAAUGUUAUCCUAAUUUCAGUUUAAAACUGCAUAAUGUAUUUGAUAUUUAAGAUCAAAAUAAAUAAAAAUGUCAUUUGCAUUUUCUUUAAGUUUUUUUAUUAUAUUCCCCGUCUGAAUAUAUGUAUUUGCACAAAAUUUACAUAUUUAAAAAGUGCUUUCAUAAAAAUCUUCCUGAAAUAAAUAAUAACUUGCAGCUAGUGAUCCUGAAAAAUAAGGUUUGCUAAAGCUCCUACGUUCCAUGUAAAUCGUGUAGCAAAAUAAGCGUAUGAAGGAACUCCUACUAUAUAAUUUGCGCUCAAAUGUAAAAACUUAAGUAUCAAACAAUGUAAAUGCUUUUUAGCUUUUUUCCCCUCAAUUUUACAUCUUAUUUUACUUAUACUUAGGAAUUUUUUCGGUAUUCAUAUUUUGCAGUAAUGAUAAAUUAAUUAUUAUUAUUAUUGUUUAAUAAAUUCAUAUUAUUUGUUUGCAGAAUCAAAAGCUGAAUCAUUGAGACAAAUUCUACAGCUAUCAACAUUAAAUUUUAAUCAACACAUAUAGUAUUUAACUCAAAGUUUAGUGACGUAAGCAUUGAAAAAGUAUAGACAGGAGAUUAGAUUUGAAAUUCAAAGAUUGAUAUAUCAUAUGCCUUUUCAUAUGCUCAUAUAUUAUUAUGUCUCACUCAUAAAAGUAAAAAAUAAAAAUUCAGUGAUGUGUUGAUAAAAUUUUUGUUCUACUUUGUACCAGUUAAUUUUUGCUACAUACCUGACUUCUUGAACAAAAUUAAGAUGCUUUCAAAAUUAAAAAAAAAAAAAAAAAAAAAACGCACACCAUCUUUUUAUACUUUUUAUUGUCGUAUUAACUUCAAAUGGCAAUGAGUAUAACUUAACGCGGAAUUGAUGUAGCAGUUCAAAGUUAUUUUGUUUCCUCUUGCUUCGUGACCGUUUAAAAGUAUCUUGAUAGUAAAGUACUGUUAAGUAAAUUGAAUAGUUAUCAAACAUUAAUUAAAAAGGAUUUUUAAGAAAUUUAAAAUUACUUUAAAAUAUACAUCUCAUUUCUUUCUCUUGGGGAAAGGAAAGAAAUAAAAUGGUGAAAUAUCUAUUUUUAUUAAGUUUUUAAAAAAUAUCAAUGACUAAGAGAAUGAUGUAAGUAUUAAAAUUGUCAAAGCAUUUUUUUUUAACUUUUAAGACUAUGAAAUUCACUAUUUUCAUUGUUUUCGGAGUUAAGUGAUACUUAAUAAUGACUGCAAAAUUAUUUGAAUGUAAUUUCCACAUUGUUUCUCACACUUAAUUACGUGUUGUGUUCAGAAAGGAAAAAUUUUAAAGUGUUGUUUUUUCCCCCACUUUUAAAAAGUAACUGCUAGAAAUAUAAUUAUUUAAAAUCAUUUCUUGUAAUCAAAAUAUAUUUUUAAGUCUUUUUUAAUUAUAAUUUAUUGUUACUGAAAAAAUGAAAUUAUAUUAUUGAUUAUAAAAAUUGUAUUUUAGAAGCACAAUUCUUUUUUCAGAAAAUGUGUUAAAUGUUCACAUCUUUCUCAAAUAAAUUAUCAUCAUCUGACUUUUAUAUCGACCAAAAAAAUCUUAAUUUAAUAAUUUUCAUUUGAUUAUGAUAACAUAUUACUGUUUAAUUUGCAUCAUCAUGGAUUCGAAGCCUCACAAUUGCAUUUUCUAUGUGAAUUUAAAUAGAAUUGCAAGUGCAUAUUUCUAGAAAUAACUUUAAUUUAUUUAGAGCAAAUAAAGUGAAACAAAGAUAUGUUAAAAUAUAUAUAAAACUAUUAAGUUUUUGUUUUCUCCUGUACAGUCAUAUACGAAAUUUCGUUCAGUGUUGUGACAAUUUGCAAACAAAUUUGUAUUACAAGCAGCUUUGAGCUUUUUCUUGCACAAGAUUUUCUGUAUAGGAGUAAUAAAUGUGUGUUCUGUCUUAAUGUAUAAAUGUGUUAAAUCAAAUACGUCAUUAAAUUGUACAUAUCGAAUCACGUGAAAUGAAUUGUACCGCGGAUUGUAUAACACGUGAUACUAUGUUUUUUUAUAUUUUAUCACUUUUAUGUAUAUAAAUGAAUAUAUAUAUAUAUAUAUAAUAAAUAAACAUAUCCUUGUUGUAUCAUUAGCAAUAAAACUGUGCCCUCACGGC